AUAUUGGAAGCUUGCUUCCGAUAGGCGUCGACCGGCGCACGGGUGAGUAACGCGUAUCCUUUUUUGGCCCCACUUGGGGAUAACCUUGCGAAAGUAAGACUCUUACCCAAUGAUAUCUCUAGAAGACAUCUGAAAGAGAUUAAAGAUUUAUCGGUGAUGGAUGGGGAUGCGUCUGAUUAGCUUGUUGGCGGGGUAACGGCCCACCAAGGCAACGAUCAGUAGGGGUUCUGAGAGGAAGGUCCCCCACAUUGGAACUGAGACACGGUCCAAACUCCUACGGGAGGCAGCAGUGAGGAAUAUUGGUCAAUGGACGAGAGUCUGAACCAGCCAAGUAGCGUGCAGGAAGACGGCCCUAUGGGUUGUAAACUGCUUUUAUAAGGGAAUAAAGUGAGAGUCGUGACUCUUUUUGCAUGUACCUUAUGAAUAAGGACCGGCUAAUUCCGUGCCAGCAGCCGCGGUAAUACGGAAGGUCCGGGCGUUAUCCGGAUUUAUUGGGUUUAAAGGGAGCGUAGGCCGGAGAUUAAGCGUGUUGUGAAAUGUAGACGCUCAACGUCUGCACUGCAGCGCGAACUGGUUUCCUUGAGUACGCACAAAGUGGGCGGAAUUCGUGGUGUAGCGGUGAAAUGCUUAGAUAUCACGAAGAACUCCGAUUG
rnacentral:rRNA from 1 species